rnacentral:lncRNA from 1 species
UUUCGAUAUGCUCGUUGAUAGAGGUUUGUGAUCUUACUAAAAAAAAUUGCAAAAAUUUGACAAGAGACGGGUGAGAGGUAUUUGGCUUUUUGACAUAGACAAAUAAGGGUUGUCUAAAUGGUAAAAAUUAUGUAAAAUAUGUGUUAGAAUUUGAAUAAAUUUUCUAUAACAAAAAAAUAUUAUAAAUAAAAUUGCAGAAAGAACCAUCAGAAAUUCAUCAUAUGAUUGGGAAAAAAAUUAAAGUAGAAGAAAAA